CUUUCCACCCAAUUCCCUUUGAAUCCCCCAAACCCCUCCAUUCACAAUCCUUUUUGCUUAAAAUUUCUAUUUGGUAGGCAGGGUCUGUCAUAUUAACAUGGUGUAGAACAUUUAAAAAUCCAAUCUUUACAAUGUAACUAACUCACCUUAUAACAACAUGAUAUCGCAUCACAGCAACAACAUAACAGUAUGACUUGGAAUCACCAAAUCCCAACAAUCAUAAUUUAGCAUAACAACAACAGAUUAUCACAACCACAACAGGUCACUGACGUCAUGGCCUACAGCCCUACACGUUCACCACCAACAGUGUACAUAUUGUAUCUCAGUGACAUCAUAGCCAACAAGCUCACAUGGCUCCUUGGAUUCCAUUCUUUGGGUGCCUGCAAGAUAAUAUAUGUGAGACAAGCCUGGAAAUCUCAACUCCAGCAUAUCACCCAUGACUAGAGUGAAAAAUGCAAUAAUUAUGAACAACGGAUGCAAGGUAGGAGGAAGCAGCCCCCGCGUCGCUUUCCCAGGAGCCGCUCGGGCGGACUCUGCGCGCCGCCGCGGCCGGCUCCCUCCCGCCUCCUCCCUUCCCUCUCCUCAUGGACUCUACCAGAAUUCCAUCACUUGCAUUAUCGUAUCCCGAGCUCCGACCACCCAAAGCAGCCAUGGCCAAGUUCAGGCAAGCGAUCGACGGGUAUGUAGUUACUAUUGUUCCUGACCACCCGCGAGCAAUUGACAAAGGUAGCGCAUGUAGAUAAGGUCGCUCAUCCCAGCGAGGAAGAGGGCAGCU
rnacentral:lncRNA from 1 species